rnacentral:rRNA from 1 species
UACGGGGGGGGCAAGCGUUGUUCGGAAUUACUGGGCGUAAAGGGUUCGUAGGUGGCCACCUAAGUCAGACGUGAAAUCCCUCAGCUUAACUGGGGAACUGCGUCUGAUACUGGGUGGCUUGAGUGCAGGAGAGGAAUGCGGAAUUCCAGGUGUAGCGGUGAAAUGCGUAGAUAUCUGGAGGAACACCGGUGGCGAAGGCGGCAUUCUGGACUGUAACUGACACUGAGGAACGAAAGCCAGGGGAGCAAACGGG